rnacentral:rRNA from 1 species
GAUGAACGCUGGCGGCGCGCUUAACACAUGCAAGUCGAGCGAGAACCAGGCCUUCGGGCCUGGGGACAGCGGCGAACGGGUGAGUAACACGUGGGUAAUCAACCCUCGAUACUGGGAUAGCCCGGGGAAACCCGGAUUAAUACCGGAUGGCCCUUUGGAUCCUCGGAUCUGAAGGAAAAGGUAGCUUCGGCCUCCGAUCGAGGACGAGCCCGCGGCGGAUUAGCUUGUUGGUGAGGUAACGGCUCACCAAGGCGACGAUCCGUAGCUGGUCUGAGAGGACGAUCAGCCACACUGGGACUGAGACACGGCCCAGACUCCUACGGGAGGCAGCAGUGGGGAAUCUUGCGCUAAUGCGGGAAACCGUGACGCAGCGACGCCGCGUGAGGGAAGAAGGCCUUCGGGUUGUAAACCUCUGUCUUCAGGGACGAAAUCAAUGACGGUACCUGAGGAGGAAGCC